UACGAAGGGGGCUAGCGUUGCUCGGAAUUACUGGGCGUAAAGGGCGCGUAGGCGGCCAACUUAGUCAGAGGUGAAAGCCCAGGGCUCAACCUUGGAAUUGCCUUUGAUACUGGUUGUCUUGAGUUCGGGAGAGGUGAGUGGAAUGCCGAGUGUAGAGGUGAAAUUCGUAGAUAUUCGGCGGAACACCAGUGGCGAAGGCGACUCACUGGCCCGAUACUGACGCUGAGGAGCGAAAGCGUGGGGAGCGAACAGG
rnacentral:rRNA from 1 species